GGCCUGGUAGUGUAAUGGUCAUAGAUCAUAGUGAGCCCGAUACAUCCCGAGGCGUGGGUUCGAUUCCCACCUGAGCCG
rnacentral:tRNA from 1 species